rnacentral:rRNA from 1 species
UACGGAGGGUGCAAGCGUUGUCCGGAUUUAUUGGGUUUAAAGGGUGCGUAGGCGGCCCGUUAAGUCAGCGGUGAAAUCCCGGGGCUCAACCCCGGAACUGCCGUUGAUACUGGCGGGCUUGAGUUCGGUGAAGGGGGGCGGAACUGGCGGUGUAGCGGUGAAAUGCUUAGAUACCGCCAAGAACCCCGAUUGCGUAGGCAGCUCUCUGUGCCGAAACUGACGCUGAGGCACGAAAGCGUGGGGAGCGAACAGG